GCAGAAAUUCCAACUGGAAUUGUGCAUACGUACGUGGAUACGAUAGCAGAAAAUCACUUUAUGUAUAAAUACAGGCACGCAGAGUUGAUGAAGUGAACCCAACAGGAACUUUACGUACUGCAAGUUGAUGGUAAAAUUAAUAUGACACGCUGCUACAGAAAUUGAGAAAGGCAUACGGAUCGCGCUGAACAUCUUCCAAUUGGAAGUACGCUCACGACAUCCAAUAGGAUUAACGAAGGAAG